rnacentral:rRNA from 1 species
CCCCUAGAUGUUCUGGGCCGCACGCGCGCUACACUGAACAGUUCAACAAGUCUUAACCUUGGCCGAUAGGUCUGGGUAAUCUUUGAACGCUGUUCGUGAUUGGGAUAGACCUUUGCAAUUAUGGGUCUUCAACGAGGAAUUCCUAGUAAACGCAUUUCAUCAAAAUGCAUUGAUUACGUCCCUGCCCUUUGUACACACCGCCCGUCGCACCUACCGAUUGAGUGGUCCGGUGAAGUCUCGAGAUUGUGGCAAUCUCCUUUAUUGGAGUUUGACUGCGAGAACUUGCCUAAACCUUAUCACUUAGAGGAAGGUGAAGUCGUAACA